rnacentral:rRNA from 1 species
CAGUCGCCGCGGGAAUACGGAGGGUGCAAGCGUUAAUCGGAAUUACUGGGCGUAAAGCGUACGCAGGCGGUUUUAUAAGACAGAUGUGAAAUCCCCGGGCUUAACCUGGGAACUGCAUUUGUGACUGUAUAGCUAGAGUACUGUAGAGGGGGAUAGAAUUCCACGUGUAGCAGUGAAAUGCGUAGAUAUGCGGAGGAAUACCGAUGGCGAAGGCAAUCCCCUGGGCAUGUACUGACGCUCAUGCACGAAAGCGUGGGGAGCAAACAGGAUUAGAGACCCGUGUAGUCCCUGUCUCUUAUAC